UAUAGUAAUGGCAUAGUUUUGAAGGAAACUGUCACCAGUGGUUAUAAAUUAAAAUAUUGCAGCAUUAUUGCAAAUCUUCAUGUGGUGUAAUUAGUAAUCUAUUACCACCAAGGCCUUACUUGUAACAUAUGUUUGGUCAGGUGUACCACGGUAAUGCUUUCUGCUUGCUAGCAACUGAACUUUUGUGCUGUACUUUUUGUAAUGUGUAGAUAUUAGAAUUGAGGACUCUGCUGAACAGUGAGAAAAAAUACUGUAUCAGGAGAAGAUGGCAAGAGUCUGAUUCAAACUUCCAGUCUACCCUUAAAGAUGUGGACCGUGAGCUCAGAGUCCAGCUGCAAGGCUAGAACUGAAUCAAGGGAGAGAGCAGUCCUCCUCCACCUGAGAAGAAUAUAUCCAGCUUUGCUUCAGAUGGGCAGGGCAUUGCCAUUAGAUUCUCCAAGCAGGUAGCGACAAUUGAUUUUCAGGAAUCAUAUGAUCCCUCUUGGCAUGUCUACUUCUGCUUUGAUGACACUAUUGAAGAAGAUGAUGUUUCGCGGAGUCUAAAAAAGCGAGGAAUUGAUGCCUUACAUAUGAAGACUCAUGCAAAAGCUGCUCUCAUUCAACGCUUCCAACAGCUGGAAAGAAAACUACAUCAAGCCAUUGUGAUGUUUCACCCACAUGUAUCAGACUUUGUUCCUGCAGACAACCCCCACUUGUGUCAGGCCCUCCCCAUGCCAAGCAUACAGACACUGGUAUACAAUGAUAAGAGUGAUAAUGAUGAAAAUGUGGAUAAAUAUGAUAACUAGCACUACAGAUUUUUUUUAAGUUUCUAGUCUUGAUAUUGUAUUCUGUAAAAAAAAUGAUGUAAAAUGUAUAGUAUAUGUUGCAGCACAUCAUAGAAACCUUUAUGGUGGUUUAAUAUAAUGUUCGCCUUACUUGUGCAAACAUGAUGUUUUACUAGGUCUGAUUUAUUUUAAAGCGUAGGUACUGUUUUUAAGCACACAUAUUCACACUAGUCUGUGUGAGGAGAACAUUGUGUGUUUACCAUUGUGAUGUUACUUAUUUACUGUAAUGUACAAAUGUGGUCAAUGUGUGUAAGGUGUUUUGUUUUUGUGUGCUAAGUUGAAAUGACAAAGUAUUGAAUCUUGAAUCCUUUGAAACAAAUACUGUUAAAGUUUGUAAAAAAUAAAAUGUUUUCCAGAAUGAGUUAUAGUCAUGAUUUCAGCUAUUGUCACAGCACACUUUAGAGGUGAAUGAAUAGUGAUGAACUUAAUAAAUGACUUAUACAAUGUUUUACAGUCAUAAUCCACAAGACAGACUGCCACAUACAGUAUGUUCUUACAUAACCAUUAUAUUGGCUUGAAAUUCUCCCGAACUAAGUUGAUGUGGAUUAAUACUUUUUUCUU